rnacentral:rRNA from 1 species
CCCUUAGAUGUUCUGGGCCGCACGCGCGCUACACUGACGAUGGCAACGAGUUUUUCCUUCGCCGAAAGGUGUGGGUAAUCUUUUGAAACAUCGUCGUGCUGGGGAUAGAUCAUUGCAAUUUUUGAUCUUGAACGAGGAAUUCCUAGUAAGCGCGAGUCAUCAGCUCGCGUUGAUUACGUCCCUGCCCUUUGUACACACCGCCCGUCGCUACUACCGAUUGAAUGGUUUAGUGAGGCCUUCGGAUCCGCGACUCGUUUUGUGGAGAAGUUGGACAAACUCAGUCAUUUAGAGGAAGUAAAAGUCGUAACA